GUCCCUGCGCCGGCCAGAGCUCGAGGACCUCGCCGCGGCUUUUCACGCCGCUAACAGGGGUUCGAAUCCCCUUGGGGACG
rnacentral:tRNA from 1 species